CCUACGGGAGGCAGCAGUGGGGAAUAUUGCGCAAUGGGCGAAAGCCUGACGCAGCGACGCCGCGUGAGGGAUGAAGGUCUUCGGAUCGUAAACCUCUUUCAGCAGGGAAGAACGGUCACUGUGCUAAUCAGCAGUGAAUUGACGGUACCUGCAAAGGAAGCACCGGCUAACUCCGUGCCAGCAGCCGCGGUAAUACGGAGGGUGCGAGCGUUAAUCGGAAUUACUGGGCGUAAAGCGCUCGUAGGCGGUAUGUCAAGUCAAGGGUGAAAUCCCCGCGCUCAACGUGGGAACUGCCUUUGAAACUGGCAAACUGGAGUGUGUGAGAGGAUAGUGGAAUUCCAGGUGUAGGAGUGAAAUGCGUAGAUAUCUGGAGGAACAUCAGUGGCGAAGGCGACUAUCUGGCACAUAACUGACGCUGAGGAGCGAAAGCGUGGGUAGCAAACAGGAUUAGAUACCCUGGUAGUC
rnacentral:rRNA from 1 species